AGUGAACGCUGGCGGUAGGCCUAACACAUGCAAGUCGAACGGCAGCACAGUAAGAGCUUGCUCUUACGGGUGGCGAGUGGCGGACGGGUGAGGAAUACAUCGGAAUCUACUUUUUCGUGGGGGAUAACGUAGGGAAACUUACGCUAAUACCGCAUACGACCUACGGGUGAAAGCAGGGGAUCUUCGGACCUUGCGCGAUUGAAUGAGCCGAUGUCGGAUUAGCUAGUUGGCGGGGUAAAGGCCCACCAAGGCGACGAUCCGUAGCUGGUCUGAGAGGAUGACAGGCAAAAUGGGACUGGGAAAAGGGCCAGAAUUCUAAGGGAGGCAGCAGUGGGGAAUAAUGGACAAAGGGGGCAAGGCUGAUCCAGCCAAACCGGGGGGGGGAAGAAAGGCUUCGGGUUGGAAAGCCCUUUUGUUGGGAAAGAAAAGCAGCAAGUUAAUAACCCGCUGUUCUGACGGUAACCAAAGGAUAAGCACCGGGUAAAUUCGUGC
rnacentral:rRNA from 1 species